rnacentral:tRNA from 2 species
UUAUUUUGGCAGAUUAGUGCAAUGAAUUUAGAAUUCAUAUAUAAAAUUUUAUUUUAAAUAAUA